UCCCUGGUGGCUCAGACGGUAAAGCGUCUGUCUACAACUCAGGAGACCCUGGUUUAAUCCCUGGGUUGGGAA
rnacentral:tRNA from 1 species